UACGUAGGUGGCGAGCGUUGUCCGGAAUUACUGGGUGUAAAGGGCGUGUAGGCGGGACUGUAAGUCAGAUGUGAAAUUCCAAGGCUUAACCUUGGAGCUGCAUCUGAAACUAUGGUUCUUGAGUGCUGGAGAGGAAAGCGGAAUUCCUAGUGUAGCGGUGAAAUGCGUAGAUAUUAGGAGGAACACCAGUGGCGAAGGCGGCUUUCUGGACAGUAACUGACGCUGAGGCGCGAAAGCGUGGGGAGCAAACAGG
rnacentral:rRNA from 1 species